ACCUAAACCUAAAGCCUUGCCUAAGUCAAGCUACUAGAUCAAAGCCCCUCUUAAUAGUACGGUCAAAGAAAAACAAAGUCCUAAACUACUCUAAGUGCCCUUCUUCACCAUAAGGCACUUAGACCUAGUCUAGUCUUGAUGAUGUCCAUCCAUCCUUUGAAAACCGAAACGAUUUCCACUAUUAAGUAGGCAUAUACAUCCC
rnacentral:lncRNA from 1 species